UACGUAGGGUGCAAGCGUUGUCCGGAAUUAUUGGGCGUAAAGGGCUCGUAGGCGGUCCAUCGCGUCGGGAGUGAAAAGCUGGGGCUUAACCCCAGUCCUGCUUCCGAUACGGGUGGACUAGAGGUAGGUAGGGGAGAUCGGAAUUCCUGGUGUAGCGGUGAAAUGCGCAGAUAUCAGGAGGAACACCGAUGGCGAAGGCAGGUCUCUGGGCCACUACUGACGCUGAGAGCGAAGAAGCGUGGGGAGCGAACAGG
rnacentral:rRNA from 1 species